rnacentral:rRNA from 1 species
UGCAUGUCUAAGUACUUGCCGUAUUAGGGCGAAACCGCGAAUGGCUCAUUAAAUCAGUUAUGGUUCCUUGGAUCGUACUUCACUACUUGGAUAACUGUGGCAACUCUAGAGCUAAUACAUGCAGCAGAGCUCCGACCUUCGGGAACGAGCGCUUUUAUUAGACCAAAACCGAUCGGACCUCGUGUCCGUCCUCCGUGGUGACUCUGUAUAACUUUGGGCUGAUCGCACGGGCCCGUCCCGGCGACGUGUCUUUCAAGUGUCUGCCUUAUCAACUUUCGAUGGUAGGUUACGCGCCUACCAUGGUCGUAACGGGUAACGGGGAAUCAGGGUUCGAUUCCGGAGAGGGAGCCUGAGAAACGGCUACCACAUCCAAGGAAGGCAGCAGGCGCGCAAAUUACCCACUCCCGGAACGGGGAGGUAGUGACGAAAAAUAACAGUACGGGACUCUUUUGAGACCCCGUAAUUGGAAUGAGUACACUCUAAAUCCUUUAACGAGGAUCUAUUCGAGGGCAAGUCUGGUGCCAGCAGCCGCGGUAAUUCCAGCUCGAAUAGCGUAUAUUAAAGUUGUUGCGGUUAAAAAGCUCGUAGUUGGAUCUCAGUUCCAGACGGGUGGUCCGCCUCGCGGCGGUUACUGCCCGUUCUGAACAGCCGGCCGGUUUCUCUUGAUGAUCUUCACCGGUUGUCUCGGGUGACCGGCAAGUUUACUUUGAAAAAAUUAGAGUGCUCAAAGCGGGCGUGACGCCUGAAUAAUGGUGCAUGGAAUAAUGGAAUAGGACCUCGGUUCUAUUUUGUUGGUUUUCGGAACGCGAGGUAAUGAUUAAGAGGAACGGACGGGGGCAUUCGUACUGCGACGCUAGAGGUGAAAU